rnacentral:rRNA from 1 species
GACGAACGCUGGCGGCGUGCUUAACACAUGCAAGUCGAACGGACAGGCCCUGCUCUUGUGGGGUGCUCGAGAGGCGAACGGGUGAGUAACACGUGAGUAACAUGUACUUGACUUUGGGAUAACUUCAGGAAAAUGGGGCUAAUAUCGGAUAGGAGAUCCUGAUGCAUGGUGGUGGUUGGAAAGAUUCGGCGGUUGGGGAUAGACUCGCGGCUUAUCAGCUUGUUGGUGGGGUAGUGGCUUACCAAGGCUUAGACGGGUAGGCGGCCUGAGAGGGUGACCGGCCACAUUGGUACUGAGGUACGGACCAGUCUCCUACGGUACGCAGCGGUGGGGAAUAUUGCACAAUGGGCGGGAGCCUGAUGCAGCAGCGCCGCGUGCGGGAUGACGUCCUUCGGGUUGUAAACCGCUGUCUCCUGUGACGAAGCGUGAUUGACGGUAAUGAGUAAAAAAGCACCGGCUAACUACGUG